rnacentral:rRNA from 1 species
UGGCGGCAGGCUUAACACAUGCAAGUCGAGCGGAGUUUUGGUGCUUGCACCAAGACUUAGCGGCGGACGGGUGAGUAAUGCUUAGGAAUCUGCCUAUUAGUGGGGGACAACAUUCCGAAAGGAAUGCUAAUACCGCAUACGCCCUACGGGGGAAAGCAGGGGAUCUUCGGACCUUGCGCUAAUAGAUGAGCCUAAGUCGGAUUAGCUAGUUGGUGGGGUAAAGGCCUACCAAGGCGACGAUCUGUAGCGGGUCUGAGAGGAUGAUCCGCCACACUGGGACUGAGACACGGCCCAGACUCCUACGGGAGGCAGCAGUGGGGAAUAUUGGACAAUGGGCGGAAGCCUGAUCCAGCCAUGCCGCGUGUGUGAAGAAGGCCUUUUGGUUGUAAAGCACUUUAAGCGAGGAGGAGGCUACUUAGAUUAAUACUCUAGGAUAGUGGACGUUACUCGCAGAAUAAGCACCGGCUAAC